rnacentral:rRNA from 1 species
AGAGUUUGAUCCUGGCUCAGGACGAACGCUGGCGGCGCGCCUAACACAUGCAAGUCGAACGGAGCUGAGAGGAGCUUGCUUUUCUUAGCUUAGUGGCGAACGGGUGAGUAACGCGUGAGUAACCUGCCCUGGAGUGGGGGACAACAGUUGGAAACGACUGCUAAUACCGCAUAAGCCCACGAUCCGGCAUCGGAUUGAGGGAAAAGGAUUUAUUCGCUUCAGGAUGGACUCGCGUCCAAUUAGCUAGUUGGUGAGGUAACGGCCCACCAAGGCGACGAUUGGUAGCCGGACUGAGAGGUUGAACGGCCACAUUGGGACUGAGACACGGCCCAGACUCCUACGGGAGGCAGCAGUGGGGGAUAUUGCACAAUGGGGGAAACCCUGAUGCAGCGACGCCGCGUGGAGGAAGAAGGUUUUCGGAUUGUAAACUCCUGUCGUUAGGGACGAUAAUGACGGUACCUAACAAGAAAGCACCGGCUAACUACGUGCCAGCAGCCGCGGUAAAACGUAGGGUGCAAGCGUUGUCCGGAAUUACUGGGUGUAAAGGGAGCGCAGGCGGACCGGCAAGUUGGAAGUGAAAACUAUGGGCUCAACCCAUAAAUUGCUUUCAAAACUGCUGGCCUUGAGUAGUGCAGAGGUAGGCGGAAUUCCCGGUGUAGCGGUGGAAUGCGUAGAUAUCGGGAGGAACACCAGUGGCGAAGGCGGCCUACUGGGCACCAACUGACGCUGAGGCUCGAAAGUGUGGGUAGCAAACAGGAUUAGAUACCCUGGUAGUCCACACCGUAAACGAUGAUUACUAGGUGUUGGAGGAUUGACCCCUUCAGUGCCGCAGUUAACACAAUAAGUAAUCCACCUGGGGAGUACGACCGCAAGGUUGAAACUCAAAGGAAUUGACGGGGGCCCGCACAAGCAGUGGAGUAU